rnacentral:rRNA from 1 species
GGGUUGUGAGGUUAAGCGACUAAGCGUACACGGUGGAUGCCCUGGCAGUCAGAGGCGAUGAAGGACGUGCUAAUCUGCGAAAAGCGUCGGUAAGGUGAUAUGAACCGUUACAGCCGGCGAUGUCCGAAUGGGGAAACCCAGUGCAAUUCGUUGCACUAUCGUUAACUGAAUACAUAGGUUAACGAGGCGAACCGGGGGAACUGAAACAUCUAAGUACCCCGAGGAAAAGAAAUCAACCGAGAUUCCCCCAGUAGCGGCGAGCGAACGGGGAGCAGCCCAGAGUCUGAAUCAGCUUGUGUGUUAGUGGAACGGUCUGGAAAGUCCGACGGUACAGGGUGAUAGUCCCGUACACCAAAAUGCACAGGCUGUGAACUCGAAGAGUAGGGCGGGACACGUGGUAUCCUGUCUGAAUAUGGGGGGACCAUCCUCCAAGGCUAAAUACUCCUGACUGACCGAUAGUGAACCAGUACCGUGAGGGAAAGGCGAAAAGAACCCCGGCGAGGGGAGUGAAAAAGAACCUGAAACCGUGUACGUACAAGCAGUGGGAGCACCUUCGGGUGUGACUGCGUACCUUUUGUAUAAUGGGUCAGCGACUUAUAUUCUGUAGCAAGGUUAACCGUAUAGGGGAGCCGCAGGGAAACCGAGUCUUAACUGGGCGUUAAGUUGCAGGGUAUAGACCCGAAACCCGGUGAUCUAGCCAUGGGCAGGUUGAAGGUUGGGUAACACUAACUGGAGGACCGAACCGACUAAUGUUGAAAAAUUAGCGGAUGACUUGUGGCUGGGGGUGAAAGGCCAAUCAAACCGGGAGAUAGCUGGUUCUCCCCGAAAGCUAUUUAGGUAGCGCCUCGUGAAUUCAUCUUCGGGGGUAGAGCACUGUUUCGGCUAGGGGGUCAUCCCGACUUACCAACCCGAUGCAAACUACGAAUACCGAAGAAUGUUAUCACGGGAGACACACGGCGGGUGCUAACGUCCGUCGUGAAGAGGGAAACAACCCAGACCGCCAGCUAAGGUCCCAAAGUCACAGUUAAGUGGGAAACGAUGUGGGAAGGCACAGACAGCCAGGAUGUUGGCUUAGAAGCAGCCAUCAUUUAAAGAAAGCGUAAUAGCUCACUGGUCGAGUCGGCCUGCGCGGAAGAUGUAACGGGGCUAAACUGUGCACCGAAGCUGCGGCAGCGACACUAUGUGUUGUUGGGUAGGGGAGCGUUCUGUAAGCCUGCGAAGGUGGCCUGUGAGGGUUGCUGGAGGUAUCAGAAGUGCGAAUGCUGACAUAAGUAACGAUAAUGCGGGUGAAAAGCCCGCACGCCGGAAGACCAAGGGUUCCUGUCCAACGUUAAUCGGGGCAGGGUGAGUCGACCCCUAAGGCGAGGCCGAAAGGCGUAGUCGAUGGGAAACAGGUUAAUAUUCCUGUACUUGGUGUUACUGCGAAGGGGGGACGGAGAAGGCUAUGUUAGCCGGGCGACGGUUGUCCCGGUUUAAGCAUGUAGGCGGAGGUUCCAGGUAAAUCCGGUACCUUUNNNNNNNNNNNNNNNNNNNNNNNNNNNNNNNNNNNNNNNNNNNNNNNNNNNNNNNNNNNNNNNNNNNNNNNNNNNNNNNNNNNNNNNNNNNNNNNCUUAUUAACGCUGAGGUGUGAUGACGAGGCACUACGGUGCUGAAGUAACAAAUGCCCUGCUUCCAGGAAAAGCCUCUAAGCAUCAGGUAACAUUAAAUCGUACCCCAAACCGACACAGGUGGUCAGGUAGAGAAUACCAAGGCGCUUGAGAGAACUCGGGUGAAGGAACUAGGCAAAAUGGUGCCGUAACUUCGGGAGAAGGCACGCUGAUAUGUAGGUGAAGCCCCUGCGGGUGGAGCUGAAAUCAGUCGAAGAUACCAGCUGGCUGCAACUGUUUAUUAAAAACACAGCACUGUGCAAACACGAAAGUGGACGUAUACGGUGUGACGCCUGCCCGGUGCCGGAAGGUUAAUUGAUGGGGUUAUCCGUAAGGAGAAGCUCUUGAUCGAAGCCCCGGUAAACGGCGGCCGUAACUAUAACGGUCCUAAGGUAGCGAAAUUCCUUGUCGGGUAAGUUCCGACCUGCACGAAUGGCGUAAUGAUGGCCAGGCUGUCUCCACCCGAGACUCAGUGAAAUUGAACUCGCUGUGAAGAUGCAGUGUACCCGCGGCAAGACGGAAAGACCCCGUGAACCUUUACUAUAGCUUGACACUGAACAUUGAGCCUUGAUGUGUAGGAUAGGUGGGAGGCUUUGAAGCGUGGACGCCAGUCUGCGUGGAGCCAACCUUGAAAUACCACCCUUUAAUGUUUGAUGUUCUAACGUUGGCCCCUUAUCGGGGUUGCGGACAGUGUCUGGUGGGUAGUUUGACUGGGGCGGUCUCCUCCCAAAGAGUAACGGAGGAGCACGAAGGUUAGCUAAUCCUGGUCGGACAUCAGGAGGUUAGUGCAAUGGCAUAAGCUAGCUUGACUGCGAGCGUGACGGCGCGAGCAGGUGCGAAAGCAGGUCAUAGUGAUCCGGUGGUUCUGAAUGGAAGGGCCAUCGCUCAACGGAUAAAAGGUACUCCGGGGAUAACAGGCUGAUACCGCCCAAGAGUUCAUAUCGACGGCGGUGUUUGGCACCUCGAUGUCGGCUCAUCACAUCCUGGGGCUGAAGUAGGUCCCAAGGGUAUGGCUGUUCGCCAUUUAAAGUGGUACGCGAGCUGGGUUUAGAACGUCGUGAGACAGUUCGGUCCCUAUCUGCCGUGGGCGCUGGAGAAUUGAGGGGGGCUGCUCCUAGUACGAGAGGACCGGAGUGGACGCAUCACUGGUGUUCGGGUUGUCAUGCCAAUGGCAUUGCCCGGUAGCUAAAUGCGGAAGAGAUAAGUGCUGAAAGCAUCUAAGCACGAAACUUGCCCCGAGAUGAGUUCUCCCUGAGACUUUAAGUCUCCUGAAGGAACGUUAAAGACGAUGACGUUGAUAGGUCGGGUGUGUAAGCGUAGCGAUACGUUGAGCUAACCGAUACUAAUGAACCGUGAGGCUUAACCUUACAACGCCGAAGGUGUUU